GCCUGUGUCACCGUGGCGCUCCAUGAGAGCACAGAAAUACGUCGCAGCAUCCCCCAGCUGCGAGUCGGAGAUCUCCAGGCUGAAGGACUUAGCUGCUUUCUGGAAGUUCACAGAGAAGCGGUUUAACGUUGCAUUAUACUGCUUGUAUGCUUCUUGGAGAAUGACGAGAGUCACCUGCCCUCCUUGCUGUUUGUACCAGAACAAGAGCUACUUCUUCCAUGUCUGCACAGAUGCUGAGAUCUGAGGUUUCUGUUAGACCCUCUCUGUUGCCUGCGUCACUGUGGCUCCCCCUGAGUGCACAGAAAUACGUCGCAGCAUCCCCCAGCUGCGAGUCGGAGAUCUCCAGGCUGAAGGACUUAGCUGCUUUCUGGAAGUUCACAGAGAAGCGGUUUAACGUUGCAUUAUACUGCUUGUAUGCUUCUUGGAGAAUGACGAGAGUCACCUGCCCUCCUUGCUGUUUGUACCAGAACAAGAGGAUUAGAGAUGCUGAGUCAGGUGGAUCAAUGGGAGUUUGAGGACAGCCUGGUGAACAAAGAGUUUCCCAUCUCAAAAAAGGAGAAAAAGAAAAUGAUGAAUUUCAAAGGCCCAUGACCUCCUCACAACAUAAGAAGCAUUUAGCCAAACUGUGAAAGCUCCAAUAGUCUUCAGCAGCUCCAACACUGUUCAAAAGUAGACCGGAAGUGCCGAACUGCCUUGCUAUCACGGCUCGCCCCUGCUUGGGAAGAUUAACACACUAAGAAGACUGAUGUCGGAAUAUCUUCACUGAGAUCAUAAUUAUUCUCCACGGGAAGCAUAGGGCUUCCCCAGCGGCAGCACGGAUUCCAUUUUCCUGCCUCUCUAAUGACCAGUUCUCAGGUUUACUUGGUUGUAUCUGACUCAUAGCUCAGUUGCAAACAAAAGGAUCAGCAGUGAAAUCUGUGUCCACUCUUUUUUAAUUUUUAGGUUUGUUUUUCUGUGAAAAGUGAUUUGCUCUGUUCCUCUUUUUCUUGGAACCCACACCUUUAUAAACACACAUGCACACACACACACACACACACACACACACACACACACACACACACACACAGACACACACCCACGCACACAUGCACACCAACUAUUUCCUUUUUAAGUUAAGCAAAAAAAAAUUAUUUGUCUCCAAUUUAAACUCAAAUCUUUCUCACUAAACCAUCUAUGGUCAUCAUUGCAAAUGGAACACUGCCAUCUUGUGAGCUGGCACAGAAUAUCUGGAAGUUUGCACAUUUUCCUAUUACCAGGAUAGUAGGGUUUUCUGCCUCUGACAGUCUCCCUCCACUGAAGGAUAGACUAUGCCAUGCCACCCUCAUUAUAUCACUCACUGGCUCCAUAGACAUUGAAAAAAAUGUGAAGCCCCCUCCCCAGGAACCAGUCAGAAAAGCACAACUGAGCCUUAUCCUCAACAUGCCUUUACCCAGAGCUCUUUGUUAGUAUUUAAUUAAUAAAUUACAUUAUAUUUUGUUAGA
rnacentral:lncRNA from 1 species